ACUAGUGGAGGUCAAGCUCCAAAGCCAUUGGCCAGUUAAAGGAUCCUCAGGGAGCAGAUUAGGUUUGCAAAGCAAGUGGGGGAAGAGGAAUGGGGCUCUUUGCUUCCUGACUCAUCUCUCAACUAACUCUGCCUCUGGGCUAGUGCUCUGUCUGGGACCUAAACCCAACUUGGGUGGCAAAGGCUGAAACCCCAAGUGUCUUCUCUUCUCUUUCCUAAUGAGUGCUUCUCAAUGGAGACCAACAUUCUAAUCUAAUUUCAGACCCUUCCUAGCUAUGUUACUCUGGGCAGAUCACUUCACCCCCAUUGCCCAGCCCUGACCACUCUCUCCUGCCUGAGAAACAAUACACAGAAUUGAUUGGAAAAUGGAAGGUAAGGGGGUGGGGGGACAAAAACUACAAAUCCCUCCAGGAAGUAUUCUAGGAAUCAACUUCAAGUUCACCCAGCUAUUGUUUCCAUGAGACAUUUUUCUUCCUUUGGUUCCCAACCAAGGCAGACUUUCAUGUCUUCUCUCUUCUUGUCCUUCUCCAUGGUUCUGCAAAGAUCUGCUAAUUUUGGAAGAAGCCUAGUAAGGGAAGCUGAUUUGAUCAGUGGAUAGAGAAUCAGGCCUAAUGACUGGAGGCUCAAAUCCAGCCUGGGACACUUCCUUCCUGCGUGACCCUGGGCAAAUCACUUCAUCUCUUGCCAAGCCCUUCCUUACUACUUUUGUGCUUUAGACCCACAUACAGAAUUGGUUUUGAGAUGGAAGGGAAGGUUUUUUCCAAAAAAUAAUGAACUUUUUUAACUCAAUAUUUAUCUGGGGAGAUUUAAAUGCAAAGAACCCAAAUGGUAGAUGACCCAAAGUAUCUUGGAAAGAUGCAUGGUAGGUAUCGAUGAGCUGUACUAGAGAUGAUUUGAGUGCAAGAAGCAGUCUAAAAAGCCAUCCAGUUGGAUGAUCAGGGACGAGAUAAGCCUGGCCCAGUUCUUUGGUGUCUUGAACCAAAACCCUCAUCCUAGAAUUCUUAGUGUGAAAAAGAUGUGGAUAGGUUUUGACCUGCAUUGCAAGAAAGGAUACAUCCCAGAUACAGCACCAAGACCAAGAGAAGAGAACUCCCUUCCCUUGACGAAGCUAGUGAAUAUCCAUUGAGAGAUAGCCUUAGAUAAUAGUAUGGAGACAUGAGUAGCUUCAGAGACAGGAAGGAGGCCUGGUUUCAAAUGAUGCCUUUGACACCUACUAACUGAGUGGUGCCAAAUAAGUCCCUAGUGGCUCAGAGAAUUCUCCAAGUCUCUAAGUUACAAAAGAGUUGCCUAUCCACACCUAUUAAGAGAAUUAGCACACUGGAACAUCCAUGGAUAAAAUUACAAGUCUUGCCUCCUUGCUCCCAUCACCAUUGAUAUUUUCCUAUUGCAAUAAACAUAUUGAACACUUCGGCAGCAGGUAGGGUUAUCCACACAUAGACUGGACAGCAGGAUUUACUCAUAGGUCCUUAUCGUGGGAAAGAACUUUGUUUUUUUUUCUUUUUGGGUGCCCCUUGGAAAUGCCUCUUCAGUCUUUUGGAUGUGUUUCCACUGUGGAAAGGAAUGGCAUGAGCUCAGUACAUUGGACUGGGCAAUGGGUCUGCUGAAGAAGAUAUCCUGAAAAGUUUAAAAGCUUAGAAAACAAGCUGGAGGCUGGAAUUCAAUUCUGUCUAUGAAGUCCUUUGUAAGAAAGUGAAUAGAAAUGAAGAAAAUAAAAGAGAACAUUUAGGACAAAAGGUGAGGCCCACGGUGAGAUGGCUUAGGUGUGUUGAUACAGGGAUCCAGGCUGAUGUUCCUCUUGGUCAUCCUGGCUCUCUUGGGUCUCCUGGGCCUUAAUCACCUGUUUCUUGCCGUGGAUGUCUUGCUUCGACUCUGGGCCACCAUCCUUCAGGAAGAGACCCUGGAACUUUUCAGCCAUUUGGUCAGAACUUCUCAGUUUGACUAGUCAAGUUCUCUCUUCCUUGGGUUCAUGUGUCUUUUCACAUCCUUUUUGAAUUCCUGGAAUUUUGCCUUCAACCUGGGGGCUUGUUGUGCACUCCGGAAUCAGCUGGCCAACAGCUCUGGCGUUGGACUUUGAUGGGCAGUUAGGCUGUGUGUCCCAAACCAAGUCCCAUCACUGCCCUAACCGGGCUUCAGCUCCACCAGUGGGGUUCCUGAGUCAUUGGCUCUUCAGAGACUUGUCCCAGCUCCCGAGGAGACCAAUUGUCCCUGUGUCCUUGUGUCUCAGCAGCUUCCCAUCAGCCGUCCAUGCUCUUUCCACUGGGGAAGGUCAUUGUGAGAGGCAAAGGGGAGCAGCUUGUUCCACCUUCCAGAUCUCUUCUUCAUCUGCCUGACUGCAGGGUCUUCAUGUCCUACUCAGACAGACAGACAGACCACGGGCUGUAACUGGGGAUCCUGCUUGCCUUCCUCCAGGCUGUUGCUGGUGGAAUCCUGCUCAAUCAGAGAUUCCUUGGUAGAGGCCAUCAGAAGGGGAAAGGAGGGGGUGGUGAUGCCACAGCGGCGUCAGCAAUGGUUGCUCCCAGUGACGCGAAGGCGGAGGGUGCAGCCAUUGUGGCGCUCUGUUGGCCCUAGUGCUUAAGUAGGCUGAGUCUCGCUACUGCUCGCACAUGCGCGAGACACUCCGGCCCCCCAACCCGGCUGCCAGGGGACUGGAAAGGGCUUGGAAGAGAUGCGCUAAUCCAAACGUUUCAUUUUUAGGAGAGGGGGAAAAUGGAGGCCUGGACAGAAGGGAUUCAUUGCACUUGACUCCGGGAGCCAAUGGGAGAGCUAAGUCCAGAGCAUUGGUGAAAUUGGGAGGGAAAUGAUAAGGGUGCCGACAUCCCAGCUUGAAUCCCGCCUAGGAAUCAGAGUUCCUGUGUGGGAUGGCUCAAGUCUGGGAUAUGGGGACGGGGGAAGGGACAGCACUGGUUGAGGUCAUGGUCCAAAGCCAUUGGCCAAGGAAAGGAUCCCCAGGGAGGAGAUUCGGUUUGCAAAGCUCCUGGGGAAGAGGAAUUGGGGCUCUUUGCUUCCUGAUCUCUCUCUCAACUAACUCUGCCUGUUGACUAGUGCUCUGUCUGGGACCUGAACCCAACUCGGGUGGGAAAGACUGAAACCCCAAGUUUCACCUCUGAUCUUUCCUAAGGACAGCUUUUCAGUCCAGUCCCACUUUCUAAUCUGAUUUCAGACCCUUCCUAGCUGGGUGACCGUGGGCAAAUCACUUCACCUCCAUUGCCCGGCCCUGACCACUCUCCUGCCUGAGAACCAAUACUCAGCAUUGAAUGGAAGAUGCAAGGUAAAGGGGGGAAUGAAAGCUACAAAUCCCUUCUGGAAGUAUUCUAGGAAUCAGCUUCAAGCUCACCAAGAGCCUUCUUCUUCCCUUGGAUCUCCUGCUUAGCCUCUGCGCCACCAUCCUUCACCCAGAUUUCCUUGAACUUCUCCGCCAUGUGGUCAGAAUUUCUCUCUUUAGUCAAGCUUUCUCUUCCUGGGCUUCUUCUUUCCUUUCUUUUGUUUCUUGUCAUCUCCUUCUUGUAUUUCUGGAAUUUUGCCUUCAACCUGUGAACAUUUUGUGCACUCAGGCAUCUGUUGGCCAGCAGCCGCCCUGGCUUUGGACUUUGAUGGGCAGAGUGAGGCUGUGUGUUCCCAACACAAGCCCCUUCACUACCCGCACUGGGCUUCAGCUCCAGCAGUGGGGUUCUGGAGUGAUUGGCACAGCUCUUCAGAGACUUGUCCUGGCUUCUGAGGAGGACAAUUGUCCUUCUGUCCUUGUGUCUCAGCAGCUUCCCAAGAGCCGUUCCUGCUCUUUCCAUUGGGGAAGGUCAUUGUGAGAGGCAAAGGGGAGCGGCUUGGCUCCCACCUUCCAGAGCUCUUCUUCCUCUGCCUGCCUGCAGGGUCUUCAUGCCCUGCUCAGCAGACAGACAACGGGCUGAAACUGGGGAUCCUGCUUGCUGUCCUCCAGGCUGUGGGCUGUGGAAUCCUGCUCCUCCUGAGGUUCCUUGGUAGAGACCAUCAGAAGGGGAAGGGGUGGCCCGAUGUGGAAGAAGCGUCAGCAAUGGUUGCUCCCAGUGACCUGAAGGCAAAGGGGGCAGCCGUUGUGGCAGCUCUGGUGGCCCUCGCGCUGAGUUUCCUUCCAACUCGCGCAGGCUCGAGAGUGCAGGCAUGCGCGCAAGCCUAGCCCUGUCUGCCUGGCUGCUGUGGCAGUGGGAAAGUGCUUGGAAGAGAUCUCCUAAUUCACACACUUCCUUUUGUAGGAGAAGGGAAAAAAUGGAGGCCAGGACAGAAGUGACUCAUUGCACGUGACUCCGGGAGCCAAUGGGAGAGCUAAGUCCAGAGCACUGGUGAAAGUGGGAGGGAAAUCAUGAGGAGACCUCCAUCCCAGCUUGAAUCCCGCCUAUGAAUCAGAGUCCUGUGUCAUGGCCAAACUCUGGGAUUUGGGGACCGGCGAGGGGGGGGGAGGGAAAGUACUAGUGGAGGUCAAGCUCCAAAGCCAUUGGCCAGUUAAAGGAUCCUCAGGGAGCAGAUUAGGUUUGCAAAGCAAGUGGGGGAAGAGGAAUGGGGCUCUUUGCUUCCUGACUCAUCUCUCAACUAACUCUGCCUCUGGGCUAGUGCUCUGUCUGGGACCUAAACCCAACUUGGGUGGCAAAGGCUGGAACCCCAAGUGUCUUCUCUUCUCUUUCCUAAUGAGUGCUUCUCAAUGGAGACCAACAUUCUAAUCUGAUUUCAGACCCUUCCUAGCUAUGUUACUCUGGGCAGAUCACUUCACCCCCAUUGCCCAGCCCUGACCACUCUCUCCUGCCUGAGAAACAAUACACAGAAUUGAUUGGAAAAUGGAAGGUAAGGGGGGGGGGACAAAAACUACAAAUCCCUUCAGGAAGUAUUCUAGGAAUCAGUUUCAAGCUCACCAGCUAUUGUUUCCAUGAGACAUUUUUCUUCCUUUGGUUCCCAACCAGGGCAGACUUUCAUGUCUUCUCUCUUCUUGUCCUUCUCCAUGGUUCUGCAAAGAUCUGCUAAUUUUGGAAGAAGCCUAGUAAGGGAAGCUGAUUUGAUCAGUGGAUAGAGAAUCAGGCCUAAUGACUGGAGGCUCAAAUCCAGCCUGGGACACUUCCUUCCUGCGUGACCCUGGGCAAAUCACUUCAUCUCUUGCCAAGCCCUUCCUUACUACUUUUGUGCUUUAGACCCACAUACAGAAUUGGUUUUGAGAUGGAAGGGAAGGUUUUUUCCAAAAAAUAAUGAACUUUUUUAACUCAAUAUUUAUCUGGGGAGAUUUAAAUGCAAAGAACCCAAAUGGUAGAUGACCCAAAGUAUCUUGGAAAGAUGCAUGGUAGGUAUCGAUGAGCUGUACUAGAGAUGAUUUGAGUGCAAGAAGCAGUCUAAAAAGCCAUCCAGUUGGAUGAUCAGGGACGAGAUAAGCCUGGCCCAGUUCUUUGGUGUCUUGAACCAAAACCCUCAUCCUAGAAUUCUUAGUGUGAAAAAGAUGUGGAUAGGUUUUGACCUGCAUUGCAAGAAAGGAUACAUCCCAGAUACAGCACCAAGACCAAGAGAAGGGAACUCCCUUCCCUUGACGAAGCUAGUGAAUAUCCAUUGAGAGAUAGAUAGCCUUAGAUAAUAGUAUGGAGACAUGAGUAGCUUCAGAGACAGGAAGGAGGCCUGGUUUCAAAUGAUGCCUUUGACACCUACUAACUGAGUGGUGCCAAAUAAGUCCCUAGUGGCUCAGAGAAUUCUCCAAGUCUCUAAGUUACAAAAGAGUUGCCUAUCCACACCUAUUAAGAGAAUUAGCACACUGGAACAUCCAUGGAUAAAAUUACAAGUCUUGCCUCCUUGCUCCCAUCACCAUUGAUAUUUUCCUAUUGCAAUAAACAUAUUGAACACUUCGGCAGCAGGUAGGGUUAUCCACACGUAGACUGGACAGCAGGAUUUACUCAUAGGUCCUUAUCGUGGGAAAGAACUUUGUUUUUUUUUCUUUUUGGGUGCCCCUUGGAAAUGCCUCUUCAGUCUUUUGGAUGUGUUUCCACUGUGGAAAGGAAUGGCAUGAGCUCAGUACAUUGGACUGGGCAAUGGGUCUGCUGAAGAAGAUAUCCUGAAAAGUUUAAAAGCUUAGAAAACAAGCUGGAGGCUGGAAUUCAAUUCUGUCUAUGAAGUCCUUUGUAAGAAAGUGAAUAGAAAUGAAGAAAAUAAAAGAGAACAUUUAGGACAAAAGGUGAGGCCCACGGUGAGAUGGCUUAGGUGUGUUGAUACAGGGAUCCAGGCUGAUGUUCCUCUUGGUCAUCCUGGCUCUCUUGGGUCUCCUGGGCCUUAAUCACCUGUUUCUUGCCGUGGAUGUCUUGCUUCGACUCUGGGCCACCAUCCUUCAGGAAGAGACCCUGGAACUUUUCAGCCAUUUGGUCAGAACUUCUCAGUUUGACUAGUCAAGUUCUCUCUUCCUUGGGUUCAUGUGUCUUUUCACAUCCUUUUUGAAUUCCUGGAAUUUUGCCUUCAACCUGGGGGCUUGUUGUGCACUCCGGAAUCAGCUGGCCAACAGCUCUGGCGUUGGACUUUGAUGGGCAGUUAGGCUGUGUGUCCCAAACCAAGUCCCAUCACUGCCCUAACCGGGCUUCAGCUCCACCAGUGGGGUUCCUGAGUCAUUGGCUCUUCAGAGACUUGUCCCAGCUCCCGAGGAGACCAAUUGUCCCUGUGUCCUUGUGUCUCAGCAGCUUCCCAUCAGCCGUCCAUGCUCUUUCCACUGGGGAAGGUCAUUGUGAGAGGCAAAGGGGAGCAGCUUGUUCCACCUUCCAGAUCUCUUCUUCAUCUGCCUGACUGCAGGGUCUUCAUGUCCUACUCAGACAGACAGACAGACCACGGGCUGUAACUGGGGAUCCUGCUUGCCUUCCUCCAGGCUGUUGCUGGUGGAAUCCUGCUCAAUCAGAGAUUCCUUGGUAGAGGCCAUCAGAAGGGGAAAGGAGGGGGUGGUGAUGCCACAGCGGCGUCAGCAAUGGUUGCUCCCAGUGACGCGAAGGCGGAGGGUGCAGCCAUUGUGGCGCUCUGUUGGCCCUAGUGCUUAAGUAGGCUGAGUCUCGCUACUGCUCGCACAUGCGCGAGACACUCCGGCCCCCCAACCCGGCUGCCAGGGGACUGGAAAGGGCUUGGAAGAGAUGCGCUAAUCCAAACGUUUCAUUUUUAGGAGAGGGGGAAAAUGGAGGCCUGGACAGAAGGGAUUCAUUGCACUUGACUCCGGGAGCCAAUGGGAGAGCUAAGUCCAGAGCAUUGGUGAAAUUGGGAGGGAAAUGAUAAGGGUGCCGACAUCCCAGCUUGAAUCCCGCCUAGGAAUCAGAGUUCCUGUGUGGGAUGGCUCAAGUCUGGGAUAUGGGGACGGGGGAAGGGACAGCACUGGUUGAGGUCAUGGUCCAAAGCCAUUGGCCAAGGAAAGGAUCCCCAGGGAGGAGAUUCGGUUUGCAAAGCUCCUGGGGAAGAGGAAUUGGGGCUCUUUGCUUCCUGAUCUCUCUCUCAACUAACUCUGCCUGUUGACUAGUGCUCUGUCUGGGACCUGAACCCAACUCGGGUGGGAAAGACUGAAACCCCAAGUUUCACCUCUGAUCUUUCCUAAGGACAGCUUUUCAGUCCAGUCCCACUUUCUAAUCUGAUUUCAGACCCUUCCUAGCUGGGUGACCGUGGGCAAAUCACUUCACCUCCAUUGCCCGGCCCUGACCACUCUCCUGCCUGAGAACCAAUACUCAGCAUUGAAUGGAAGAUGCAAGGUAAAGGGGGGAAUGAAAGCUACAAAUCCCUUCUGGAAGUAUUCUAGGAAUCAGCUUCAAGCUCACCAAGAGCCUUCUUCUUCCCUUGGAUCUCCUGCUUAGCCUCUGCGCCACCAUCCUUCACCCAGAUUUCCUUGAACUUCUCCGCCAUGUGGUCAGAAUUUCUCUCUUUGACUAGUCAAGCUUUCUCUUCCUGGGCUUCUUCUUUCCUUUCUUUUGUUUCUUGUCAUCUCCUUCUUGUAUUUCUGGAAUUUUGCCUUCAACCUGUGAACAUUUUGUGCACUCAGGCAUCUGUUGGCCAGCAGCCGCCCUGGCUUUGGACUUUGAUGGGCAGAGUGAGGCUGUGUGUUCCCAACACAAGCCCCUUCACUACCCGCACUGGGCUUCAGCUCCAGCAGUGGGGUUCUGGAGUGAUUGGCACAGCUCUUCAGAGACUUGUCCUGGCUUCUGAGGAGGACAAUUGUCCUUCUGUCCUUGUGUCUCAGCAGCUUCCCAAGAGCCGUUCCUGCUCUUUCCAUUGGGGAAGGUCAUUGUGAGAGGCAAAGGGGAGCGGCUUGGCUCCCACCUUCCAGAGCUCUUCUUCCUCUGCCUGCCUGCAGGGUCUUCAUGCCCUGCUCAGCAGACAGACAACGGGCUGAAACUGGGGAUCCUGCUUGCUGUCCUCCAGGCUGUCAGCGGUGGAAUCCUGCUCCUCCUGAGGUUCCUUGGUAGAGACCAUCAGAAGGGGAAGGGGUGGCCCGAUGUGGAAGAAGCGUCAGCAAUGGUUGCUCCCAGUGACCUGAAGGCAAAGGGGGCAGCCGUUGUGGCAGCUCUGGUGGCCCUCGCGCUGAGUUUCCUUCCAACUCGCGCAGGCUCGAGAGCGCAGGCAUGCGCGCAAGCCUAGCCCUGUCUGCCUGGCUGCUGUGGCAGUGGGAAAGUGCUUGGAAGAGAUCUCCUAAUUCACACACUUCCUUUUGUAGGAGAAGGGAAAAAAUGGAGGCCAGGACAGAAGUGACUCAUUGCACGUGACUCCGGGAGCCAAUGGGAGAGCUAAGUCCAGAGCACUGGUGAAAGUGGGAGGGAAAUCAUGAGGAGACCUCCAUCCCAGCUUGAAUCCCGCCUAUGAAUCAGAGUCCUGUGUCAUGGCCAAACUCUGGGAUUUGGGGACCGGCGAGGGGGGGGGAGGGAAAGUACUAGUGGAGGUCAAGCUCCAAAGCCAUUGGCCAGUUAAAGGAUCCUCAGGGAGCAGAUUAGGUUUGCAAAGCAAGUGGGGGAAGAGGAAUGGGGCUCUUUGCUUCCUGACUCAUCUCUCAACUAACUCUGCCUCUGGGCUAGUGCUCUGUCUGGGACCUAAACCCAACUUGGGUGGCAAAGGCUGGAACCCCAAGUGUCUUCUCUUCUCUUUCCUAAUGAGUGCUUCUCAAUGGAGACCAACAUUCUAAUCUGAUUUCAGACCCUUCCUAGCUAUGUUACUCUGGGCAGAUCGCUUCACCCCCAUUGCCCAGCCCUGACCACUCUCUCCUGCCUGAGAAACAAUACACAGAAUUGAUUGGAAAAUGGAAGGUAAGGGGGGGGGGACAAAAACUACAAAUCCCUUCAGGAAGUAUUCUAGGAAUCAGUUUCAAGCUCACCAGCUAUUGUUUCCAUGAGACAUUUUUCUUCCUUUGGUUCCCAACCAGGGCAGACUUUCAUGUCUUCUCUCUUCUUGUCCUUCUCCAUGGUUCUGCAAAGAUCUGCUAAUUUUGGAAGAAGCCUAGUAAGGGAAGCUGAUUUGAUCAGUGGAUAGAGAAUCAGGCCUAAUGACUGGAGGCUCAAAUCCAGCCUGGGACACUUCCUUCCUGCGUGACCCUGGGCAAAUCACUUCAUCUCUUGCCAAGCCCUUCCUUACUACUUUUGUGCUUUAGACCCACAUACAGAAUUGGUUUUAAGAUGGAAGGGAAGGUUUUUUCCAAAAAAUAAUGAACUUUUUUAACUCAAUAUUUAUCUGGGGAGAUUUAAAUGCAAAGAACCCAAAUGGUAGAUGACCCAAAGUAUCUUGGAAAGAUGCAUGGUAGGUAUCGAUGAGCUGUACUAGAGAUGAUUUGAGUGCAAGAAGCAGUCUAAAAAGCCAUCCAGUUGGAUGAUCAGGGACGAGAUAAGCCUGGCCCAGUUCUUUGGUGUCUUGAACCAAAACCCUCAUCCUAGAAUUCUUAGUGUGAAAAAGAUGUGGAUAGGUUUUGACCUGCAUUGCAAGAAAGGAUACAUCCCAGAUACAGCACCAAGACCAAGAGAAGGGAACUCCCUUCCCUUGACGAAGCUAGUGAAUAUCCAUUGAGAGAUAGAUAGCCUUAGAUAAUAGUAUGGAGACAUGAGUAGCUUCAGAGACAGGAAGGAGGCCUGGUUUCAAAUGAUGCCUUUGACACCUACUAACUGAGUGGUGCCAAAUAAGUCCCUAGUGGCUCAGAGAAUUCUCCAAGUCUCUAAGUUACAAAAGAGUUGCCUAUCCACACCUAUUAAGAGAAUUAGCACACUGGAACAUCCAUGGAUAAAAUUACAAGUCUUGCCUCCUUGCUCCCAUCACCAUUGAUAUUUUCCUAUUGCAAUAAACAUAUUGAACACUUCGGCAGCAGGUAGGGUUAUCCACACAUAGACUGGACAGCAGGAUUUACUCAUAGGUCCUUAUCGUGGGAAAGAACUUUGUUUUUUUUUCUUUUUGGGUGCCCCUUGGAAAUGCCUCUUCAGUCUUUUGGAUGUGUUUCCACUGUGGAAAGGAAUGGCAUGAGCUCAGUACAUUGGACUGGGCAAUGGGUCUGCUGAAGAAGAUAUCCUGAAAAGUUUAAAAGCUUAGAAAACAAGCUGGAGGCUGGAAUUCAAUUCUGUCUAUGAAGUCCUUUGUAAGAAAGUGAAUAGAAAUGAAGAAAAUAAAAGAGAACAUUUAGGACAAAAGGUGAGGCCCACGGUGAGAUGGCUUAGGUGUGUUGAUACAGGGAUCCAGGCUGAUGUUCCUCUUGGUCAUCCUGGCUCUCUUGGGUCUCCUGGGCCUUAAUCACCUGUUUCUUGCCGUGGAUGUCUUGCUUCGACUCUGGGCCACCAUCCUUCAGGAAGAGACCCUGGAACUUUUCAGCCAUUUGGUCAGAACUUCUCAGUUUGACUAGUCAAGUUCUCUCUUCCUUGGGUUCAUGUGUCUUUUCACAUCCUUUUUGAAUUCCUGGAAUUUUGCCUUCAACCUGGGGGCUUGUUGUGCACUCCGGAAUCAGCUGGCCAACAGCUCUGGCGUUGGACUUUGAUGGGCAGUUAGGCUGUGUGUCCCAAACCAAGUCCCAUCACUGCCCUAACCGGGCUUCAGCUCCACCAGUGGGGUUCCUGAGUCAUUGGCUCUUCAGAGACUUGUCCCAGCUCCCGAGGAGACCAAUUGUCCCUGUGUCCUUGUGUCUCAGCAGCUUCCCAUCAGCCGUCCAUGCUCUUUCCACUGGGGAAGGUCAUUGUGAGAGGCAAAGGGGAGCAGCUUGUUCCACCUUCCAGAUCUCUUCUUCAUCUGCCUGACUGCAGGGUCUUCAUGUCCUACUCAGACAGACAGACAGACCACGGGCUGUAACUGGGGAUCCUGCUUGCCUUCCUCCAGGCUGUUGCUGGUGGAAUCCUGCUCAAUCAGAGAUUCCUUGGUAGAGGCCAUCAGAAGGGGAAAGGAGGGGGUGGUGAUGCCACAGCGGCGUCAGCAAUGGUUGCUCCCAGUGACGCGAAGGCGGAGGGUGCAGCCAUUGUGGCGCUCUGUUGGCCCUAGUGCUUAAGUAGGCUGAGUCUCGCUACUGCUCGCACAUGCGCGAGACACUCCGGCCCCCCAACCCGGCUGCCAGGGGACUGGAAAGGGCUUGGAAGAGAUGCGCUAAUCCAAACGUUUCAUUUUUAGGAGAGGGGGAAAAUGGAGGCCUGGACAGAAGGGAUUCAUUGCACUUGACUCCGGGAGCCAAUGGGAGAGCUAAGUCCAGAGCAUUGGUGAAAUUGGGAGGGAAAUGAUAAGGGUGCCGACAUCCCAGCUUGAAUCCCGCCUAGGAAUCAGAGUUCCUGUGUGGGAUGGCUCAAGUCUGGGAUAUGGGGACGGGGGAAGGGACAGCACUGGUUGAGGUCAUGGUCCAAAGCCAUUGGCCAAGGAAAGGAUCCCCAGGGAGGAGAUUCGGUUUGCAAAGCUCCUGGGGAAGAGGAAUUGGGGCUCUUUGCUUCCUGAUCUCUCUCUCAACUAACUCUGCCUGUUGACUAGUGCUCUGUCUGGGACCUGAACCCAACUCGGGUGGGAAAGACUGAAACCCCAAGUUUCACCUCUGAUCUUUCCUAAGGACAGCUUUUCAGUCCAGUCCCACUUUCUAAUCUGAUUUCAGACCCUUCCUAGCUGGGUGACCGUGGGCAAAUCACUUCACCUCCAUUGCCCGGCCCUGACCACUCUCCUGCCUGAGAACCAAUACUCAGCAUUGAAUGGAAGAUGCAAGGUAAAGGGGGGAAUGAAAGCUACAAAUCCCUUCUGGAAGUAUUCUAGGAAUCAGCUUCAAGCUCACCAAGAGCCUUCUUCUUCCCUUGGAUCUCCUGCUUAGCCUCUGCGCCACCAUCCUUCACCCAGAUUUCCUUGAACUUCUCCGCCAUGUGGUCAGAAUUUCUCUCUUUAGUCAAGCUUUCUCUUCCUGGGCUUCUUCUUUCCUUUCUUUUGUUUCUUGUCAUCUCCUUCUUGUAUUUCUGGAAUUUUGCCUUCAACCUGUGAACAUUUUGUGCACUCAGGCAUCUGUUGGCCAGCAGCCGCCCUGGCUUUGGACUUUGAUGGGCAGAGUGAGGCUGUGUGUUCCCAACACAAGCCCCUUCACUACCCGCACUGGGCUUCAGCUCCAGCAGUGGGGUUCUGGAGUGAUUGGCACAGCUCUUCAGAGACUUGUCCUGGCUUCUGAGGAGGACAAUUGUCCUUCUGUCCUUGUGUCUCAGCAGCUUCCCAAGAGCCGUUCCUGCUCUUUCCAUUGGGGAAGGUCAUUGUGAGAGGCAAAGGGGAGCGGCUUGGCUCCCACCUUCCAGAGCUCUUCUUCCUCUGCCUGCCUGCAGGGUCUUCAUGCCCUGCUCAGCAGACAGACAACGGGCUGAAACUGGGGAUCCUGCUUGCUGUCCUCCAGGCUGUGGGCUGUGGAAUCCUGCUCCUCCUGAGGUUCCUUGGUAGAGACCAUCAGAAGGGGAAGGGGUGGCCCGAUGUGGAAGAAGCGUCAGCAAUGGUUGCUCCCAGUGACCUGAAGGCAAAGGGGGCAGCCGUUGUGGCAGCUCUGGUGGCCCUCGCGCUGAGUUUCCUUCCAACUCGCGCAGGCUCGAGAGUGCAGGCAUGCGCGCAAGCCUAGCCCUGUCUGCCUGGCUGCUGUGGCAGUGGGAAAGUGCUUGGAAGAGAUCUCCUAAUUCACACACUUCCUUUUGUAGGAGAAGGGAAAAAAUGGAGGCCAGGACAGAAGUGACUCAUUGCACGUGACUCCGGGAGCCAAUGGGAGAGCUAAGUCCAGAGCACUGGUGAAAGUGGGAGGGAAAUCAUGAGGAGACCUCCAUCCCAGCUUGAAUCCCGCCUAUGAAUCAGAGUCCUGUGUCAUGGCCAAACUCUGGGAUUUGGGGACCGGCGAGGGGGGGGGAGGGAAAGUACUAGUGGAGGUCAAGCUCCAAAGCCAUUGGCCAGUUAAAGGAUCCUCAGGGAGCAGAUUAGGUUUGCAAAGCAAGUGGGGGAAGAGGAAUGGGGCUCUUUGCUUCCUGACUCAUCUCUCAACUAACUCUGCCUCUGGGCUAGUGCUCUGUCUGGGACCUAAACCCAACUUGGGUGGCAAAGGCUGGAACCCCAAGUGUCUUCUCUUCUCUUUCCUAAUGAGUGCUUCUCAAUGGAGACCAACAUUCUAAUCUGAUUUCAGACCCUUCCUAGCUAUGUUACUCUGGGCAGAUCACUUCACCCCCAUUGCCCAGCCCUGACCACUCUCUCCUGCCUGAGAAACAAUACACAGAAUUGAUUGGAAAAUGGAAGGUAAGGGGGGGGGGACAAAAACUACAAAUCCCUUCAGGAAGUAUUCUAGGAAUCAGUUUCAAGCUCACCAGCUAUUGUUUCCAUGAGACAUUUUUCUUCCUUUGGUUCCCAACCAGGGCAGACUUUCAUGUCUUCUCUCUUCUUGUCCUUCUCCAUGGUUCUGCAAAGAUCUGCUAAUUUUGGAAGAAGCCUAGUAAGGGAAGCUGAUUUGAUCAGUGGAUAGAGAAUCAGGCCUAAUGACUGGAGGCUCAAAUCCAGCCUGGGACACUUCCUUCCUGCGUGACCCUGGGCAAAUCACUUCAUCUCUUGCCAAGCCCUUCCUUACUACUUUUGUGCUUUAGACCCACAUACAGAAUUGGUUUUGAGAUGGAAGGGAAGGUUUUUUCCAAAAAAUAAUGAACUUUUUUAACUCAAUAUUUAUCUGGGGAGAUUUAAAUGCAAAGAACCCAAAUGGUAGAUGACCCAAAGUAUCUUGGAAAGAUGCAUGGUAGGUAUCGAUGAGCUGUACUAGAGAUGAUUUGAGUGCAAGAAGCAGUCUAAAAAGCCAUCCAGUUGGAUGAUCAGGGACGAGAUAAGCCUGGCCCAGUUCUUUGGUGUCUUGAACCAAAACCCUCAUCCUAGAAUUCUUAGUGUGAAAAAGAUGUGGAUAGGUUUUGACCUGCAUUGCAAGAAAGGAUACAUCCCAGAUACAGCACCAAGACCAAGAGAAGGGAACUCCCUUCCCUUGACGAAGCUAGUGAAUAUCCAUUGAGAGAUAGAUAGCCUUAGAUAAUAGUAUGGAGACAUGAGUAGCUUCAGAGACAGGAAGGAGGCCUGGUUUCAAAUGAUGCCUUUGACACCUACUAACUGAGUGGUGCCAAAUAAGUCCCUAGUGGCUCAGAGAAUUCUCCAAGUCUCUAAGUUACAAAAGAGUUGCCUAUCCACACCUAUUAAGAGAAUUAGCACACUGGAACAUCCAUGGAUAAAAUUACAAGUCUUGCCUCCUUGCUCCCAUCACCAUUGAUAUUUUCCUAUUGCAAUAAACAUAUUGAACACUUCGGCAGCAGGUAGGGUUAUCCACACAUAGACUGGACAGCAGGAUUUACUCAUAGGUCCUUAUCGUGGGAAAGAACUUUGUUUUUUUUUCUUUUUGGGUGCCCCUUGGAAAUGCCUCUUCAGUCUUUUGGAUGUGUUUCCACUGUGGAAAGGAAUGGCAUGAGCUCAGUACAUUGGACUGGGCAAUGGGUCUGCUGAAGAAGAUAUCCUGAAAAGUUUAAAAGCUUAGAAAACAAGCUGGAGGCUGGAAUUCAAUUCUGUCUAUGAAGUCCUUUGUAAGAAAGUGAAUAGAAAUGAAGAAAAUAAAAGAGAACAUUUAGGACAAAAGGUGAGGCCCACGGUGAGAUGGCUUAGGUGUGUUGAUACAGGGAUCCAGGCUGAUGUUCCUCUUGGUCAUCCUGGCUCUCUUGGGUCUCCUGGGCCUUAAUCACCUGUUUCUUGCCGUGGAUGUCUUGCUUCGACUCUGGGCCACCAUCCUUCAGGAAGAGACCCUGGAACUUUUCAGCCAUUUGGUCAGAACUUCUCAGUUUGACUAGUCAAGUUCUCUCUUCCUUGGGUUCAUGUGUCUUUUCACAUCCUUUUUGAAUUCCUGGAAUUUUGCCUUCAACCUGGGGGCUUGUUGUGCACUCCGGAAUCAGCUGGCCAACAGCUCUGGCGUUGGACUUUGAUGGGCAGUUAGGCUGUGUGUCCCAAACCAAGUCCCAUCACUGCCCUAACCGGGCUUCAGCUCCACCAGUGGGGUUCCUGAGUCAUUGGCUCUUCAGAGACUUGUCCCAGCUCCCGAGGAGACCAAUUGUCCCUGUGUCCUUGUGUCUCAGCAGCUUCCCAUCAGCCGUCCAUGCUCUUUCCACUGGGGAAGGUCAUUGUGAGAGGCAAAGGGGAGCAGCUUGUUCCACCUUCCAGAUCUCUUCUUCAUCUGCCUGACUGCAGGGUCUUCAUGUCCUACUCAGACAGACAGACAGACCACGGGCUGUAACUGGGGAUCCUGCUUGCCUUCCUCCAGGCUGUUGCUGGUGGAAUCCUGCUCAAUCAGAGAUUCCUUGGUAGAGGCCAUCAGAAGGGGAAAGGAGGGGGUGGUGAUGCCACAGCGGCGUCAGCAAUGGUUGCUCCCAGUGACGCGAAGGCGGAGGGUGCAGCCAUUGUGGCGCUCUGUUGGCCCUAGUGCUUAAGUAGGCUGAGUCUCGCUACUGCUCGCACAUGCGCGAGACACUCCGGCCCCCCAACCCGGCUGCCAGGGGACUGGAAAGGGCUUGGAAGAGAUGCGCUAAUCCAAACGUUUCAUUUUUAGGAGAGGGGGAAAAUGGAGGCCUGGACAGAAGGGAUUCAUUGCACUUGACUCCGGGAGCCAAUGGGAGAGCUAAGUCCAGAGCAUUGGUGAAAUUGGGAGGGAAAUGAUAAGGGUGCCGACAUCCCAGCUUGAAUCCCGCCUAGGAAUCAGAGUUCCUGUGUGGGAUGGCUCAAGUCUGGGAUAUGGGGACGGGGGAAGGGACAGCACUGGUUGAGGUCAUGGUCCAAAGCCAUUGGCCAAGGAAAGGAUCCCCAGGGAGGAGAUUCGGUUUGCAAAGCUCCUGGGGAAGAGGAAUUGGGGCUCUUUGCUUCCUGAUCUCUCUCUCAACUAACUCUGCCUGUUGACUAGUGCUCUGUCUGGGACCUGAACCCAACUCGGGUGGGAAAGACUGAAACCCCAAGUUUCACCUCUGAUCUUUCCUAAGGACAGCUUUUCAGUCCAGUCCCACUUUCUAAUCUGAUUUCAGACCCUUCCUAGCUGGGUGACCGUGGGCAAAUCACUUCACCUCCAUUGCCCGGCCCUGACCACUCUCCUGCCUGAGAACCAAUACUCAGCAUUGAAUGGAAGAUGCAAGGUAAAGGGGGGAAUGAAAGCUACAAAUCCCUUCUGGAAGUAUUCUAGGAAUCAGCUUCAAGCUCACCAAGAGCCUUCUUCUUCCCUUGGAUCUCCUGCUUAGCCUCUGCGCCACCAUCCUUCACCCAGAUUUCCUUGAACUUCUCCGCCAUGUGGUCAGAAUUUCUCUCUUUGACUAGUCAAGCUUUCUCUUCCUGGGCUUCUUCUUUCCUUUCUUUUGUUUCUUGUCAUCUCCUUCUUGUAUUUCUGGAAUUUUGCCUUCAACCUGUGAACAUUUUGUGCACUCAGGCAUCUGUUGGCCAGCAGCCGCCCUGGCUUUGGACUUUGAUGGGCAGAGUGAGGCUGUGUGUUCCCAACACAAGCCCCUUCACUACCCGCACUGGGCUUCAGCUCCAGCAGUGGGGUUCUGGAGUGAUUGGCACAGCUCUUCAGAGACUUGUCCUGGCUUCUGAGGAGGACAAUUGUCCUUCUGUCCUUGUGUCUCAGCAGCUUCCCAAGAGCCGUUCCUGCUCUUUCCAUUGGGGAAGGUCAUUGUGAGAGGCAAAGGGGAGCGGCUUGGCUCCCACCUUCCAGAGCUCUUCUUCCUCUGCCUGCCUGCAGGGUCUUCAUGCCCUGCUCAGCAGACAGACAACGGGCUGAAACUGGGGAUCCUGCUUGCUGUCCUCCAGGCUGUCAGCGGUGGAAUCCUGCUCCUCCUGAGGUUCCUUGGUAGAGACCAUCAGAAGGGGAAGGGGUGGCCCGAUGUGGAAGAAGCGUCAGCAAUGGUUGCUCCCAGUGACCUGAAGGCAAAGGGGGCAGCCGUUGUGGCAGCUCUGGUGGCCCUCGCGCUGAGUUUCCUUCCAACUCGCGCAGGCUCGAGAGCGCAGGCAUGCGCGCAAGCCUAGCCCUGUCUGCCUGGCUGCUGUGGCAGUGGGAAAGUGCUUGGAAGAGAUCUCCUAAUUCACACACUUCCUUUUGUAGGAGAAGGGAAAAAAUGGAGGCCAGGACAGAAGUGACUCAUUGCACGUGACUCCGGGAGCCAAUGGGAGAGCUAAGUCCAGAGCACUGGUGAAAGUGGGAGGGAAAUCAUGAGGAGACCUCCAUCCCAGCUUGAAUCCCGCCUAUGAAUCAGAGUCCUGUGUCAUGGCCAAACUCUGGGAUUUGGGGACCGGCGAGGGGGGGGGAGGGAAAGUACUAGUGGAGGUCAAGCUCCAAAGCCAUUGGCCAGUUAAAGGAUCCUCAGGGAGCAGAUUAGGUUUGCAAAGCAAGUGGGGGAAGAGGAAUGGGGCUCUUUGCUUCCUGACUCAUCUCUCAACUAACUCUGCCUCUGGGCUAGUGCUCUGUCUGGGACCUAAACCCAACUUGGGUGGCAAAGGCUGGAACCCCAAGUGUCUUCUCUUCUCUUUCCUAAUGAGUGCUUCUCAAUGGAGACCAACAUUCUAAUCUGAUUUCAGACCCUUCCUAGCUAUGUUACUCUGGGCAGAUCACUUCACCCCCAUUGCCCAGCCCUGACCACUCUCUCCUGCCUGAGAAACAAUACACAGAAUUGAUUGGAAAAUGGAAGGUAAGGGGGUGGGGGGACAAAAACUACAAAUCCCUUCAGGAAGUAUUCUAGGAAUCAACUUCAAGUUCACCCAGCUAUUGUUUCCAUGAGACAUUUUUCUUCCUUUGGUUCCCAACCAGGGCAGACUUUCAUGUCUUCUCUCUUCUUGUCCUUCUCCAUGGUUCUGCAAAGAUCUGCUAAUUUUGGAAGAAGCCUAGUAAGGGAAGCUGAUUUGAUCAGUGGAUAGAGAAUCAGGCCUAAUGACUGGAGGCUCAAAUCCAGCCUGGGACACUUCCUUCCUGCGUGACCCUGGGCAAAUCACUUCAUCUCUUGCCAAGCCCUUCCUUACUACUUUUGUGCUUUAGACCCACAUACAGAAUUGGUUUUGAGAUGGAAGGGAAGGUUUUUUCCAAAAAAUAAUGAACUUUUUUAACUCAAUAUUUAUCUGGGGAGAUUUAAAUGCAAAGAACCCAAAUGGUAGAUGACCCAAAGUAUCUUGGAAAGAUGCAUGGUAGGUAUCGAUGAGCUGUACUAGAGAUGAUUUGAGUGCAAGAAGCAGUCUAAAAAGCCAUCCAGUUGGAUGAUCAGGGACGAGAUAAGCCUGGCCCAGUUCUUUGGUGUCUUGAACCAAAACCCUCAUCCUAGAAUUCUUAGUGUGAAAAAGAUGUGGAUAGGUUUUGACCUGCAUUGCAAGAAAGGAUACAUCCCAGAUACAGCACCAAGACCAAGAGAAGGGAACUCCCUUCCCUUGACGAAGCUAGUGAAUAUCCAUUGAGAGAUAGAUAGCCUUAGAUAAUAGUAUGGAGACAUGAGUAGCUUCAGAGACAGGAAGGAGGCCUGGUUUCAAAUGAUGCCUUUGACACCUACUAACUGAGUGGUGCCAAAUAAGUCCCUAGUGGCUCAGAGAAUUCUCCAAGUCUCUAAGUUACAAAAGAGUUGCCUAUCCACACCUAUUAAGAGAAUUAGCACACUGGAACAUCCAUGGAUAAAAUUACAAGUCUUGCCUCCUUGCUCCCAUCACCAUUGAUAUUUUCCUAUUGCAAUAAACAUAUUGAACACUUCGGCAGCAGGUAGGGUUAUCCACACAUAGACUGGACAGCAGGAUUUACUCAUAGGUCCUUAUCGUGGGAAAGAACUUUGUUUUUUUUUCUUUUUGGGUGCCCCUUGGAAAUGCCUCUUCAGUCUUUUGGAUGUGUUUCCACUGUGGAAAGGAAUGGCAUGAGCUCAGUACAUUGGACUGGGCAAUGGGUCUGCUGAAGAAGAUAUCCUGAAAAGUUUAAAAGCUUAGAAAACAAGCUGGAGGCUGGAAUUCAAUUCUGUCUAUGAAGUCCUUUGUAAGAAAGUGAAUAGAAAUGAAGAAAAUAAAAGAGAACAUUUAGGACAAAAGGUGAGGCCCACGGUGAGAUGGCUUAGGUGUGUUGAUACAGGGAUCCAGGCUGAUGUUCCUCUUGGUCAUCCUGGCUCUCUUGGGUCUCCUGGGCCUUAAUCACCUGUUUCUUGCCGUGGAUGUCUUGCUUCGACUCUGGGCCACCAUCCUUCAGGAAGAGACCCUGGAACUUUUCAGCCAUUUGGUCAGAACUUCUCAGUUUGACUAGUCAAGUUCUCUCUUCCUUGGGUUCAUGUGUCUUUUCACAUCCUUUUUGAAUUCCUGGAAUUUUGCCUUCAACCUGGGGGCUUGUUGUGCACUCCGGAAUCAGCUGGCCAACAGCUCUGGCGUUGGACUUUGAUGGGCAGUUAGGCUGUGUGUCCCAAACCAAGUCCCAUCACUGCCCUAACCGGGCUUCAGCUCCACCAGUGGGGUUCCUGAGUCAUUGGCUCUUCAGAGACUUGUCCCAGCUCCCGAGGAGACCAAUUGUCCCUGUGUCCUUGUGUCUCAGCAGCUUCCCAUCAGCCGUCCAUGCUCUUUCCACUGGGGAAGGUCAUUGUGAGAGGCAAAGGGGAGCAGCUUGUUCCACCUUCCAGAUCUCUUCUUCAUCUGCCUGACUGCAGGGUCUUCAUGUCCUACUCAGACAGACAGACAGACCACGGGCUGUAACUGGGGAUCCUGCUUGCCUUCCUCCAGGCUGUUGCUGGUGGAAUCCUGCUCAAUCAGAGAUUCCUUGGUAGAGGCCAUCAGAAGGGGAAAGGAGGGGGUGGUGAUGCCACAGCGGCGUCAGCAAUGGUUGCUCCCAGUGACGCGAAGGCGGAGGGUGCAGCCAUUGUGGCGCUCUGUUGGCCCUAGUGCUUAAGUAGGCUGAGUCUCGCUACUGCUCGCACAUGCGCGAGACACUCCGGCCCCCCAACCCGGCUGCCAGGGGACUGGAAAGGGCUUGGAAGAGAUGCGCUAAUCCAAACGUUUCAUUUUUAGGAGAGGGGGAAAAUGGAGGCCUGGACAGAAGGGAUUCAUUGCACUUGACUCCGGGAGCCAAUGGGAGAGCUAAGUCCAGAGCAUUGGUGAAAUUGGGAGGGAAAUGAUAAGGGUGCCGACAUCCCAGCUUGAAUCCCGCCUAGGAAUCAGAGUUCCUGUGUGGGAUGGCUCAAGUCUGGGAUAUGGGGACGGGGGAAGGGACAGCACUGGUUGAGGUCAUGGUCCAAAGCCAUUGGCCAAGGAAAGGAUCCCCAGGGAGGAGAUUCGGUUUGCAAAGCUCCUGGGGAAGAGGAAUUGGGGCUCUUUGCUUCCUGAUCUCUCUCUCAACUAACUCUGCCUGUUGACUAGUGCUCUGUCUGGGACCUGAACCCAACUCGGGUGGGAAAGACUGAAACCCCAAGUUUCACCUCUGAUCUUUCCUAAGGACAGCUUUUCAGUCCAGUCCCACUUUCUAAUCUGAUUUCAGACCCUUCCUAGCUGGGUGACCGUGGGCAAAUCACUUCACCUCCAUUGCCCGGCCCUGACCACUCUCCUGCCUGAGAACCAAUACUCAGCAUUGAAUGGAAGAUGCAAGGUAAAGGGGGGAAUGAAAGCUACAAAUCCCUUCUGGAAGUAUUCUAGGAAUCAGCUUCAAGCUCACCAAGAGCCUUCUUCUUCCCUUGGAUCUCCUGCUUAGCCUCUGCGCCACCAUCCUUCACCCAGAUUUCCUUGAACUUCUCCGCCAUGUGGUCAGAAUUUCUCUCUUUGACUAGUCAAGCUUUCUCUUCCUGGGCUUCUUCUUUCCUUUCUUUUGUUUCUUGUCAUCUCCUUCUUGUAUUUCUGGAAUUUUGCCUUCAACCUGUGAACAUUUUGUGCACUCAGGCAUCUGUUGGCCAGCAGCCGCCCUGGCUUUGGACUUUGAUGGGCAGAGUGAGGCUGUGUGUUCCCAACACAAGCCCCUUCACUACCCGCACUGGGCUUCAGCUCCAGCAGUGGGGUUCUGGAGUGAUUGGCACAGCUCUUCAGAGACUUGUCCUGGCUUCUGAGGAGGACAAUUGUCCUUCUGUCCUUGUGUCUCAGCAGCUUCCCAAGAGCCGUUCCUGCUCUUUCCAUUGGGGAAGGUCAUUGUGAGAGGCAAAGGGGAGCGGCUUGGCUCCCACCUUCCAGAGCUCUUCUUCCUCUGCCUGCCUGCAGGGUCUUCAUGCCCUGCUCAGCAGACAGACAACGGGCUGAAACUGGGGAUCCUGCUUGCUGUCCUCCAGGCUGUGGGCUGUGGAAUCCUGCUCCUCCUGAGGUUCCUUGGUAGAGACCAUCAGAAGGGGAAGGGGUGGCCCGAUGUGGAAGAAGCGUCAGCAAUGGUUGCUCCCAGUGACCUGAAGGCAAAGGGGGCAGCCGUUGUGGCAGCUCUGGUGGCCCUCGCGCUGAGUUUCCUUCCAACUCGCGCAGGCUCGAGAGUGCAGGCAUGCGCGCAAGCCUAGCCCUGUCUGCCUGGCUGCUGUGGCAGUGGGAAAGUGCUUGGAAGAGAUCUCCUAAUUCACACACUUCCUUUUGUAGGAGAAGGGAAAAAAUGGAGGCCAGGACAGAAGUGACUCAUUGCACGUGACUCCGGGAGCCAAUGGGAGAGCUAAGUCCAGAGCACUGGUGAAAGUGGGAGGGAAAUCAUGAGGAGACCUCCAUCCCAGCUUGAAUCCCGCCUAUGAAUCAGAGUCCUGUGUCAUGGCCAAACUCUGGGAUUUGGGGACCGGCGAGGGGGGGGGAGGGAAAGUACUAGUGGAGGUCAAGCUCCAAAGCCAUUGGCCAGUUAAAGGAUCCUCAGGGAGCAGAUUAGGUUUGCAAAGCAAGUGGGGGAAGAGGAAUGGGGCUCUUUGCUUCCUGACUCAUCUCUCAACUAACUCUGCCUCUGGGCUAGUGCUCUGUCUGGGACCUAAACCCAACUUGGGUGGCAAAGGCUGGAACCCCAAGUGUCUUCUCUUCUCUUUCCUAAUGAGUGCUUCUCAAUGGAGACCAACAUUCUAAUCUGAUUUCAGACCCUUCCUAGCUAUGUUACUCUGGGCAGAUCACUUCACCCCCAUUGCCCAGCCCUGACCACUCUCUCCUGCCUGAGAAACAAUACACAGAAUUGAUUGGAAAAUGGAAGGUAAGGGGGGGGGGACAAAAACUACAAAUCCCUUCAGGAAGUAUUCUAGGAAUCAGUUUCAAGCUCACCAGCUAUUGUUUCCAUGAGACAUUUUUCUUCCUUUGGUUCCCAACCAGGGCAGACUUUCAUGUCUUCUCUCUUCUUGUCCUUCUCCAUGGUUCUGCAAAGAUCUGCUAAUUUUGGAAGAAGCCUAGUAAGGGAAGCUGAUUUGAUCAGUGGAUAGAGAAUCAGGCCUAAUGACUGGAGGCUCAAAUCCAGCCUGGGACACUUCCUUCCUGCGUGACCCUGGGCAAAUCACUUCAUCUCUUGCCAAGCCCUUCCUUACUACUUUUGUGCUUUAGACCCACAUACAGAAUUGGUUUUGAGAUGGAAGGGAAGGUUUUUUCCAAAAAAUAAUGAACUUUUUUAACUCAAUAUUUAUCUGGGGAGAUUUAAAUGCAAAGAACCCAAAUGGUAGAUGACCCAAAGUAUCUUGGAAAGAUGCAUGGUAGGUAUCGAUGAGCUGUACUAGAGAUGAUUUGAGUGCAAGAAGCAGUCUAAAAAGCCAUCCAGUUGGAUGAUCAGGGACGAGAUAAGCCUGGCCCAGUUCUUUGGUGUCUUGAACCAAAACCCUCAUCCUAGAAUUCUUAGUGUGAAAAAGAUGUGGAUAGGUUUUGACCUGCAUUGCAAGAAAGGAUACAUCCCAGAUACAGCACCAAGACCAAGAGAAGGGAACUCCCUUCCCUUGACGAAGCUAGUGAAUAUCCAUUGAGAGAUAGAUAGCCUUAGAUAAUAGUAUGGAGACAUGAGUAGCUUCAGAGACAGGAAGGAGGCCUGGUUUCAAAUGAUGCCUUUGACACCUACUAACUGAGUGGUGCCAAAUAAGUCCCUAGUGGCUCAGAGAAUUCUCCAAGUCUCUAAGUUACAAAAGAGUUGCCUAUCCACACCUAUUAAGAGAAUUAGCACACUGGAACAUCCAUGGAUAAAAUUACAAGUCUUGCCUCCUUGCUCCCAUCACCAUUGAUAUUUUCCUAUUGCAAUAAACAUAUUGAACACUUCGGCAGCAGGUAGGGUUAUCCACACAUAGACUGGACAGCAGGAUUUACUCAUAGGUCCUUAUCGUGGGAAAGAACUUUGUUUUUUUUUCUUUUUGGGUGCCCCUUGGAAAUGCCUCUUCAGUCUUUUGGAUGUGUUUCCACUGUGGAAAGGAAUGGCAUGAGCUCAGUACAUUGGACUGGGCAAUGGGUCUGCUGAAGAAGAUAUCCUGAAAAGUUUAAAAGCUUAGAAAACAAGCUGGAGGCUGGAAUUCAAUUCUGUCUAUGAAGUCCUUUGUAAGAAAGUGAAUAGAAAUGAAGAAAAUAAAAGAGAACAUUUAGGACAAAAGGUGAGGCCCACGGUGAGAUGGCUUAGGUGUGUUGAUACAGGGAUCCAGGCUGAUGUUCCUCUUGGUCAUCCUGGCUCUCUUGGGUCUCCUGGGCCUUAAUCACCUGUUUCUUGCCGUGGAUGUCUUGCUUCGACUCUGGGCCACCAUCCUUCAGGAAGAGACCCUGGAACUUUUCAGCCAUUUGGUCAGAACUUCUCAGUUUGACUAGUCAAGUUCUCUCUUCCUUGGGUUCAUGUGUCUUUUCACAUCCUUUUUGAAUUCCUGGAAUUUUGCCUUCAACCUGGGGGCUUGUUGUGCACUCCGGAAUCAGCUGGCCAACAGCUCUGGCGUUGGACUUUGAUGGGCAGUUAGGCUGUGUGUCCCAAACCAAGUCCCAUCACUGCCCUAACCGGGCUUCAGCUCCACCAGUGGGGUUCCUGAGUCAUUGGCUCUUCAGAGACUUGUCCCAGCUCCCGAGGAGACCAAUUGUCCCUGUGUCCUUGUGUCUCAGCAGCUUCCCAUCAGCCGUCCAUGCUCUUUCCACUGGGGAAGGUCAUUGUGAGAGGCAAAGGGGAGCAGCUUGUUCCACCUUCCAGAUCUCUUCUUCAUCUGCCUGACUGCAGGGUCUUCAUGUCCUACUCAGACAGACAGACAGACCACGGGCUGUAACUGGGGAUCCUGCUUGCCUUCCUCCAGGCUGUUGCUGGUGGAAUCCUGCUCAAUCAGAGAUUCCUUGGUAGAGGCCAUCAGAAGGGGAAAGGAGGGGGUGGUGAUGCCACAGCGGCGUCAGCAAUGGUUGCUCCCAGUGACGCGAAGGCGGAGGGUGCAGCCAUUGUGGCGCUCUGUUGGCCCUAGUGCUUAAGUAGGCUGAGUCUCGCUACUGCUCGCACAUGCGCGAGACACUCCGGCCCCCCAACCCGGCUGCCAGGGGACUGGAAAGGGCUUGGAAGAGAUGCGCUAAUCCAAACGUUUCAUUUUUAGGAGAGGGGGAAAAUGGAGGCCUGGACAGAAGGGAUUCAUUGCACUUGACUCCGGGAGCCAAUGGGAGAGCUAAGUCCAGAGCAUUGGUGAAAUUGGGAGGGAAAUGAUAAGGGUGCCGACAUCCCAGCUUGAAUCCCGCCUAGGAAUCAGAGUUCCUGUGUGGGAUGGCUCAAGUCUGGGAUAUGGGGACGGGGGAAGGGACAGCACUGGUUGAGGUCAUGGUCCAAAGCCAUUGGCCAAGGAAAGGAUCCCCAGGGAGGAGAUUCGGUUUGCAAAGCUCCUGGGGAAGAGGAAUUGGGGCUCUUUGCUUCCUGAUCUCUCUCUCAACUAACUCUGCCUGUUGACUAGUGCUCUGUCUGGGACCUGAACCCAACUCGGGUGGGAAAGACUGAAACCCCAAGUUUCACCUCUGAUCUUUCCUAAGGACAGCUUUUCAGUCCAGUCCCACUUUCUAAUCUGAUUUCAGACCCUUCCUAGCUGGGUGACCGUGGGCAAAUCACUUCACCUCCAUUGCCCGGCCCUGACCACUCUCCUGCCUGAGAACCAAUACUCAGCAUUGAAUGGAAGAUGCAAGGUAAAGGGGGGAAUGAAAGCUACAAAUCCCUUCUGGAAGUAUUCUAGGAAUCAGCUUCAAGCUCACCAAGAGCCUUCUUCUUCCCUUGGAUCUCCUGCUUAGCCUCUGCGCCACCAUCCUUCACCCAGAUUUCCUUGAACUUCUCCGCCAUGUGGUCAGAAUUUCUCUCUUUGACUAGUCAAGCUUUCUCUUCCUGGGCUUCUUCUUUCCUUUCUUUUGUUUCUUGUCAUCUCCUUCUUGUAUUUCUGGAAUUUUGCCUUCAACCUGUGAACAUUUUGUGCACUCAGGCAUCUGUUGGCCAGCAGCCGCCCUGGCUUUGGACUUUGAUGGGCAGAGUGAGGCUGUGUGUUCCCAACACAAGCCCCUUCACUACCCGCACUGGGCUUCAGCUCCAGCAGUGGGGUUCUGGAGUGAUUGGCACAGCUCUUCAGAGACUUGUCCUGGCUUCUGAGGAGGACAAUUGUCCUUCUGUCCUUGUGUCUCAGCAGCUUCCCAAGAGCCGUUCCUGCUCUUUCCAUUGGGGAAGGUCAUUGUGAGAGGCAAAGGGGAGCGGCUUGGCUCCCACCUUCCAGAGCUCUUCUUCCUCUGCCUGCCUGCAGGGUCUUCAUGCCCUGCUCAGCAGACAGACAACGGGCUGAAACUGGGGAUCCUGCUUGCUGUCCUCCAGGCUGUCAGCGGUGGAAUCCUGCUCCUCCUGAGGUUCCUUGGUAGAGACCAUCAGAAGGGGAAGGGGUGGCCCGAUGUGGAAGAAGCGUCAGCAAUGGUUGCUCCCAGUGACCUGAAGGCAAAGGGGGCAGCCGUUGUGGCAGCUCUGGUGGCCCUCGCGCUGAGUUUCCUUCCAACUCGCGCAGGCUCGAGAGCGCAGGCAUGCGCGCAAGCCUAGCCCUGUCUGCCUGGCUGCUGUGGCAGUGGGAAAGUGCUUGGAAGAGAUCUCCUAAUUCACACACUUCCUUUUGUAGGAGAAGGGAAAAAAUGGAGGCCAGGACAGAAGUGACUCAUUGCACGUGACUCCGGGAGCCAAUGGGAGAGCUAAGUCCAGAGCACUGGUGAAAGUGGGAGGGAAAUCAUGAGGAGACCUCCAUCCCAGCUUGAAUCCCGCCUAUGAAUCAGAGUCCUGUGUCAUGGCCAAACUCUGGGAUUUGGGGACCGGCGAGGGGGGGGGAGGGAAAGUACUAGUGGAGGUCAAGCUCCAAAGCCAUUGGCCAGUUAAAGGAUCCUCAGGGAGCAGAUUAGGUUUGCAAAGCAAGUGGGGGAAGAGGAAUGGGGCUCUUUGCUUCCUGACUCAUCUCUCAACUAACUCUGCCUCUGGGCUAGUGCUCUGUCUGGGACCUAAACCCAACUUGGGUGGCAAAGGCUGGAACCCCAAGUGUCUUCUCUUCUCUUUCCUAAUGAGUGCUUCUCAAUGGAGACCAACAUUCUAAUCUGAUUUCAGACCCUUCCUAGCUAUGUUACUCUGGGCAGAUCACUUCACCCCCAUUGCCCAGCCCUGACCACUCUCUCCUGCCUGAGAAACAAUACACAGAAUUGAUUGGAAAAUGGAAGGUAAGGGGGUGGGGGGACAAAAACUACAAAUCCCUUCAGGAAGUAUUCUAGGAAUCAACUUCAAGUUCACCCAGCUAUUGUUUCCAUGAGACAUUUUUCUUCCUUUGGUUCCCAACCAGGGCAGACUUUCAUGUCUUCUCUCUUCUUGUCCUUCUCCAUGGUUCUGCAAAGAUCUGCUAAUUUUGGAAGAAGCCUAGUAAGGGAAGCUGAUUUGAUCAGUGGAUAGAGAAUCAGGCCUAAUGACUGGAGGCUCAAAUCCAGCCUGGGACACUUCCUUCCUGCGUGACCCUGGGCAAAUCACUUCAUCUCUUGCCAAGCCCUUCCUUACUACUUUUGUGCUUUAGACCCACAUACAGAAUUGGUUUUGAGAUGGAAGGGAAGGUUUUUUCCAAAAAAUAAUGAACUUUUUUAACUCAAUAUUUAUCUGGGGAGAUUUAAAUGCAAAGAACCCAAAUGGUAGAUGACCCAAAGUAUCUUGGAAAGAUGCAUGGUAGGUAUCGAUGAGCUGUACUAGAGAUGAUUUGAGUGCAAGAAGCAGUCUAAAAAGCCAUCCAGUUGGAUGAUCAGGGACGAGAUAAGCCUGGCCCAGUUCUUUGGUGUCUUGAACCAAAACCCUCAUCCUAGAAUUCUUAGUGUGAAAAAGAUGUGGAUAGGUUUUGACCUGCAUUGCAAGAAAGGAUACAUCCCAGAUACAGCACCAAGACCAAGAGAAGGGAACUCCCUUCCCUUGACGAAGCUAGUGAAUAUCCAUUGAGAGAUAGAUAGCCUUAGAUAAUAGUAUGGAGACAUGAGUAGCUUCAGAGACAGGAAGGAGGCCUGGUUUCAAAUGAUGCCUUUGACACCUACUAACUGAGUGGUGCCAAAUAAGUCCCUAGUGGCUCAGAGAAUUCUCCAAGUCUCUAAGUUACAAAAGAGUUGCCUAUCCACACCUAUUAAGAGAAUUAGCACACUGGAACAUCCAUGGAUAAAAUUACAAGUCUUGCCUCCUUGCUCCCAUCACCAUUGAUAUUUUCCUAUUGCAAUAAACAUAUUGAACACUUCGGCAGCAGGUAGGGUUAUCCACACAUAGACUGGACAGCAGGAUUUACUCAUAGGUCCUUAUCGUGGGAAAGAACUUUGUUUUUUUUUCUUUUUGGGUGCCCCUUGGAAAUGCCUCUUCAGUCUUUUGGAUGUGUUUCCACUGUGGAAAGGAAUGGCAUGAGCUCAGUACAUUGGACUGGGCAAUGGGUCUGCUGAAGAAGAUAUCCUGAAAAGUUUAAAAGCUUAGAAAACAAGCUGGAGGCUGGAAUUCAAUUCUGUCUAUGAAGUCCUUUGUAAGAAAGUGAAUAGAAAUGAAGAAAAUAAAAGAGAACAUUUAGGACAAAAGGUGAGGCCCACGGUGAGAUGGCUUAGGUGUGUUGAUACAGGGAUCCAGGCUGAUGUUCCUCUUGGUCAUCCUGGCUCUCUUGGGUCUCCUGGGCCUUAAUCACCUGUUUCUUGCCGUGGAUGUCUUGCUUCGACUCUGGGCCACCAUCCUUCAGGAAGAGACCCUGGAACUUUUCAGCCAUUUGGUCAGAACUUCUCAGUUUGACUAGUCAAGUUCUCUCUUCCUUGGGUUCAUGUGUCUUUUCACAUCCUUUUUGAAUUCCUGGAAUUUUGCCUUCAACCUGGGGGCUUGUUGUGCACUCCGGAAUCAGCUGGCCAACAGCUCUGGCGUUGGACUUUGAUGGGCAGUUAGGCUGUGUGUCCCAAACCAAGUCCCAUCACUGCCCUAACCGGGCUUCAGCUCCACCAGUGGGGUUCCUGAGUCAUUGGCUCUUCAGAGACUUGUCCCAGCUCCCGAGGAGACCAAUUGUCCCUGUGUCCUUGUGUCUCAGCAGCUUCCCAUCAGCCGUCCAUGCUCUUUCCACUGGGGAAGGUCAUUGUGAGAGGCAAAGGGGAGCAGCUUGUUCCACCUUCCAGAUCUCUUCUUCAUCUGCCUGACUGCAGGGUCUUCAUGUCCUACUCAGACAGACAGACAGACCACGGGCUGUAACUGGGGAUCCUGCUUGCCUUCCUCCAGGCUGUUGCUGGUGGAAUCCUGCUCAAUCAGAGAUUCCUUGGUAGAGGCCAUCAGAAGGGGAAAGGAGGGGGUGGUGAUGCCACAGCGGCGUCAGCAAUGGUUGCUCCCAGUGACGCGAAGGCGGAGGGUGCAGCCAUUGUGGCGCUCUGUUGGCCCUAGUGCUUAAGUAGGCUGAGUCUCGCUACUGCUCGCACAUGCGCGAGACACUCCGGCCCCCCAACCCGGCUGCCAGGGGACUGGAAAGGGCUUGGAAGAGAUGCGCUAAUCCAAACGUUUCAUUUUUAGGAGAGGGGGAAAAUGGAGGCCUGGACAGAAGGGAUUCAUUGCACUUGACUCCGGGAGCCAAUGGGAGAGCUAAGUCCAGAGCAUUGGUGAAAUUGGGAGGGAAAUGAUAAGGGUGCCGACAUCCCAGCUUGAAUCCCGCCUAGGAAUCAGAGUUCCUGUGUGGGAUGGCUCAAGUCUGGGAUAUGGGGACGGGGGAAGGGACAGCACUGGUUGAGGUCAUGGUCCAAAGCCAUUGGCCAAGGAAAGGAUCCCCAGGGAGGAGAUUCGGUUUGCAAAGCUCCUGGGGAAGAGGAAUUGGGGCUCUUUGCUUCCUGAUCUCUCUCUCAACUAACUCUGCCUGUUGACUAGUGCUCUGUCUGGGACCUGAACCCAACUCGGGUGGGAAAGACUGAAACCCCAAGUUUCACCUCUGAUCUUUCCUAAGGACAGCUUUUCAGUCCAGUCCCACUUUCUAAUCUGAUUUCAGACCCUUCCUAGCUGGGUGACCGUGGGCAAAUCACUUCACCUCCAUUGCCCGGCCCUGACCACUCUCCUGCCUGAGAACCAAUACUCAGCAUUGAAUGGAAGAUGCAAGGUAAAGGGGGGAAUGAAAGCUACAAAUCCCUUCUGGAAGUAUUCUAGGAAUCAGCUUCAAGCUCACCAAGAGCCUUCUUCUUCCCUUGGAUCUCCUGCUUAGCCUCUGCGCCACCAUCCUUCACCCAGAUUUCCUUGAACUUCUCCGCCAUGUGGUCAGAAUUUCUCUCUUUAGUCAAGCUUUCUCUUCCUGGGCUUCUUCUUUCCUUUCUUUUGUUUCUUGUCAUCUCCUUCUUGUAUUUCUGGAAUUUUGCCUUCAACCUGUGAACAUUUUGUGCACUCAGGCAUCUGUUGGCCAGCAGCCGCCCUGGCUUUGGACUUUGAUGGGCAGAGUGAGGCUGUGUGUUCCCAACACAAGCCCCUUCACUACCCGCACUGGGCUUCAGCUCCAGCAGUGGGGUUCUGGAGUGAUUGGCACAGCUCUUCAGAGACUUGUCCUGGCUUCUGAGGAGGACAAUUGUCCUUCUGUCCUUGUGUCUCAGCAGCUUCCCAAGAGCCGUUCCUGCUCUUUCCAUUGGGGAAGGUCAUUGUGAGAGGCAAAGGGGAGCGGCUUGGCUCCCACCUUCCAGAGCUCUUCUUCCUCUGCCUGCCUGCAGGGUCUUCAUGCCCUGCUCAGCAGACAGACAACGGGCUGAAACUGGGGAUCCUGCUUGCUGUCCUCCAGGCUGUGGGCUGUGGAAUCCUGCUCCUCCUGAGGUUCCUUGGUAGAGACCAUCAGAAGGGGAAGGGGUGGCCCGAUGUGGAAGAAGCGUCAGCAAUGGUUGCUCCCAGUGACCUGAAGGCAAAGGGGGCAGCCGUUGUGGCAGCUCUGGUGGCCCUCGCGCUGAGUUUCCUUCCAACUCGCGCAGGCUCGAGAGUGCAGGCAUGCGCGCAAGCCUAGCCCUGUCUGCCUGGCUGCUGUGGCAGUGGGAAAGUGCUUGGAAGAGAUCUCCUAAUUCACACACUUCCUUUUGUAGGAGAAGGGAAAAAAUGGAGGCCAGGACAGAAGUGACUCAUUGCACGUGACUCCGGGAGCCAAUGGGAGAGCUAAGUCCAGAGCACUGGUGAAAGUGGGAGGGAAAUCAUGAGGAGACCUCCAUCCCAGCUUGAAUCCCGCCUAUGAAUCAGAGUCCUGUGUCAUGGCCAAACUCUGGGAUUUGGGGACCGGCGAGGGGGGGGGAGGGAAAGUACUAGUGGAGGUCAAGCUCCAAAGCCAUUGGCCAGUUAAAGGAUCCUCAGGGAGCAGAUUAGGUUUGCAAAGCAAGUGGGGGAAGAGGAAUGGGGCUCUUUGCUUCCUGACUCAUCUCUCAACUAACUCUGCCUCUGGGCUAGUGCUCUGUCUGGGACCUAAACCCAACUUGGGUGGCAAAGGCUGGAACCCCAAGUGUCUUCUCUUCUCUUUCCUAAUGAGUGCUUCUCAAUGGAGACCAACAUUCUAAUCUGAUUUCAGACCCUUCCUAGCUAUGUUACUCUGGGCAGAUCACUUCACCCCCAUUGCCCAGCCCUGACCACUCUCUCCUGCCUGAGAAACAAUACACAGAAUUGAUUGGAAAAUGGAAGGUAAGGGGGGGGGGACAAAAACUACAAAUCCCUUCAGGAAGUAUUCUAGGAAUCAGUUUCAAGCUCACCAGCUAUUGUUUCCAUGAGACAUUUUUCUUCCUUUGGUUCCCAACCAGGGCAGACUUUCAUGUCUUCUCUCUUCUUGUCCUUCUCCAUGGUUCUGCAAAGAUCUGCUAAUUUUGGAAGAAGCCUAGUAAGGGAAGCUGAUUUGAUCAGUGGAUAGAGAAUCAGGCCUAAUGACUGGAGGCUCAAAUCCAGCCUGGGACACUUCCUUCCUGCGUGACCCUGGGCAAAUCACUUCAUCUCUUGCCAAGCCCUUCCUUACUACUUUUGUGCUUUAGACCCACAUACAGAAUUGGUUUUGAGAUGGAAGGGAAGGUUUUUUCCAAAAAAUAAUGAACUUUUUUAACUCAAUAUUUAUCUGGGGAGAUUUAAAUGCAAAGAACCCAAAUGGUAGAUGACCCAAAGUAUCUUGGAAAGAUGCAUGGUAGGUAUCGAUGAGCUGUACUAGAGAUGAUUUGAGUGCAAGAAGCAGUCUAAAAAGCCAUCCAGUUGGAUGAUCAGGGACGAGAUAAGCCUGGCCCAGUUCUUUGGUGUCUUGAACCAAAACCCUCAUCCUAGAAUUCUUAGUGUGAAAAAGAUGUGGAUAGGUUUUGACCUGCAUUGCAAGAAAGGAUACAUCCCAGAUACAGCACCAAGACCAAGAGAAGGGAACUCCCUUCCCUUGACGAAGCUAGUGAAUAUCCAUUGAGAGAUAGAUAGCCUUAGAUAAUAGUAUGGAGACAUGAGUAGCUUCAGAGACAGGAAGGAGGCCUGGUUUCAAAUGAUGCCUUUGACACCUACUAACUGAGUGGUGCCAAAUAAGUCCCUAGUGGCUCAGAGAAUUCUCCAAGUCUCUAAGUUACAAAAGAGUUGCCUAUCCACACCUAUUAAGAGAAUUAGCACACUGGAACAUCCAUGGAUAAAAUUACAAGUCUUGCCUCCUUGCUCCCAUCACCAUUGAUAUUUUCCUAUUGCAAUAAACAUAUUGAACACUUCGGCAGCAGGUAGGGUUAUCCACACAUAGACUGGACAGCAGGAUUUACUCAUAGGUCCUUAUCGUGGGAAAGAACUUUGUUUUUUUUUCUUUUUGGGUGCCCCUUGGAAAUGCCUCUUCAGUCUUUUGGAUGUGUUUCCACUGUGGAAAGGAAUGGCAUGAGCUCAGUACAUUGGACUGGGCAAUGGGUCUGCUGAAGAAGAUAUCCUGAAAAGUUUAAAAGCUUAGAAAACAAGCUGGAGGCUGGAAUUCAAUUCUGUCUAUGAAGUCCUUUGUAAGAAAGUGAAUAGAAAUGAAGAAAAUAAAAGAGAACAUUUAGGACAAAAGGUGAGGCCCACGGUGAGAUGGCUUAGGUGUGUUGAUACAGGGAUCCAGGCUGAUGUUCCUCUUGGUCAUCCUGGCUCUCUUGGGUCUCCUGGGCCUUAAUCACCUGUUUCUUGCCGUGGAUGUCUUGCUUCGACUCUGGGCCACCAUCCUUCAGGAAGAGACCCUGGAACUUUUCAGCCAUUUGGUCAGAACUUCUCAGUUUGACUAGUCAAGUUCUCUCUUCCUUGGGUUCAUGUGUCUUUUCACAUCCUUUUUGAAUUCCUGGAAUUUUGCCUUCAACCUGGGGGCUUGUUGUGCACUCCGGAAUCAGCUGGCCAACAGCUCUGGCGUUGGACUUUGAUGGGCAGUUAGGCUGUGUGUCCCAAACCAAGUCCCAUCACUGCCCUAACCGGGCUUCAGCUCCACCAGUGGGGUUCCUGAGUCAUUGGCUCUUCAGAGACUUGUCCCAGCUCCCGAGGAGACCAAUUGUCCCUGUGUCCUUGUGUCUCAGCAGCUUCCCAUCAGCCGUCCAUGCUCUUUCCACUGGGGAAGGUCAUUGUGAGAGGCAAAGGGGAGCAGCUUGUUCCACCUUCCAGAUCUCUUCUUCAUCUGCCUGACUGCAGGGUCUUCAUGUCCUACUCAGACAGACAGACAGACCACGGGCUGUAACUGGGGAUCCUGCUUGCCUUCCUCCAGGCUGUUGCUGGUGGAAUCCUGCUCAAUCAGAGAUUCCUUGGUAGAGGCCAUCAGAAGGGGAAAGGAGGGGGUGGUGAUGCCACAGCGGCGUCAGCAAUGGUUGCUCCCAGUGACGCGAAGGCGGAGGGUGCAGCCAUUGUGGCGCUCUGUUGGCCCUAGUGCUUAAGUAGGCUGAGUCUCGCUACUGCUCGCACAUGCGCGAGACACUCCGGCCCCCCAACCCGGCUGCCAGGGGACUGGAAAGGGCUUGGAAGAGAUGCGCUAAUCCAAACGUUUCAUUUUUAGGAGAGGGGGAAAAUGGAGGCCUGGACAGAAGGGAUUCAUUGCACUUGACUCCGGGAGCCAAUGGGAGAGCUAAGUCCAGAGCAUUGGUGAAAUUGGGAGGGAAAUGAUAAGGGUGCCGACAUCCCAGCUUGAAUCCCGCCUAGGAAUCAGAGUUCCUGUGUGGGAUGGCUCAAGUCUGGGAUAUGGGGACGGGGGAAGGGACAGCACUGGUUGAGGUCAUGGUCCAAAGCCAUUGGCCAAGGAAAGGAUCCCCAGGGAGGAGAUUCGGUUUGCAAAGCUCCUGGGGAAGAGGAAUUGGGGCUCUUUGCUUCCUGAUCUCUCUCUCAACUAACUCUGCCUGUUGACUAGUGCUCUGUCUGGGACCUGAACCCAACUCGGGUGGGAAAGACUGAAACCCCAAGUUUCACCUCUGAUCUUUCCUAAGGACAGCUUUUCAGUCCAGUCCCACUUUCUAAUCUGAUUUCAGACCCUUCCUAGCUGGGUGACCGUGGGCAAAUCACUUCACCUCCAUUGCCCGGCCCUGACCACUCUCCUGCCUGAGAACCAAUACUCAGCAUUGAAUGGAAGAUGCAAGGUAAAGGGGGGAAUGAAAGCUACAAAUCCCUUCUGGAAGUAUUCUAGGAAUCAGCUUCAAGCUCACCAAGAGCCUUCUUCUUCCCUUGGAUCUCCUGCUUAGCCUCUGCGCCACCAUCCUUCACCCAGAUUUCCUUGAACUUCUCCGCCAUGUGGUCAGAAUUUCUCUCUUUGACUAGUCAAGCUUUCUCUUCCUGGGCUUCUUCUUUCCUUUCUUUUGUUUCUUGUCAUCUCCUUCUUGUAUUUCUGGAAUUUUGCCUUCAACCUGUGAACAUUUUGUGCACUCAGGCAUCUGUUGGCCAGCAGCCGCCCUGGCUUUGGACUUUGAUGGGCAGAGUGAGGCUGUGUGUUCCCAACACAAGCCCCUUCACUACCCGCACUGGGCUUCAGCUCCAGCAGUGGGGUUCUGGAGUGAUUGGCACAGCUCUUCAGAGACUUGUCCUGGCUUCUGAGGAGGACAAUUGUCCUUCUGUCCUUGUGUCUCAGCAGCUUCCCAAGAGCCGUUCCUGCUCUUUCCAUUGGGGAAGGUCAUUGUGAGAGGCAAAGGGGAGCGGCUUGGCUCCCACCUUCCAGAGCUCUUCUUCCUCUGCCUGCCUGCAGGGUCUUCAUGCCCUGCUCAGCAGACAGACAACGGGCUGAAACUGGGGAUCCUGCUUGCUGUCCUCCAGGCUGUCAGCGGUGGAAUCCUGCUCCUCCUGAGGUUCCUUGGUAGAGACCAUCAGAAGGGGAAGGGGUGGCCCGAUGUGGAAGAAGCGUCAGCAAUGGUUGCUCCCAGUGACCUGAAGGCAAAGGGGGCAGCCGUUGUGGCAGCUCUGGUGGCCCUCGCGCUGAGUUUCCUUCCAACUCGCGCAGGCUCGAGAGCGCAGGCAUGCGCGCAAGCCUAGCCCUGUCUGCCUGGCUGCUGUGGCAGUGGGAAAGUGCUUGGAAGAGAUCUCCUAAUUCACACACUUCCUUUUGUAGGAGAAGGGAAAAAAUGGAGGCCAGGACAGAAGUGACUCAUUGCACAUGACUCCGGGAGCCAAUGGGAGAGCUAAGUCCAGAGCACUGGUGAAAGUGGGAGGGAAAUCAUGAGGAGACCUCCAUCCCAGCUUGAAUCCCGCCUAUGAAUCAGAGUCCUGUGUCAUGGCCAAACUCUGGGAUUUGGGGACCGGCGAGGGGGGGGGAGGGAAAGUACUAGUGGAGGUCAAGCUCCAAAGCCAUUGGCCAGUUAAAGGAUCCUCAGGGAGCAGAUUAGGUUUGCAAAGCAAGUGGGGGAAGAGGAAUGGGGCUCUUUGCUUCCUGACUCAUCUCUCAACUAACUCUGCCUCUGGGCUAGUGCUCUGUCUGGGACCUAAACCCAACUUGGGUGGCAAAGGCUGGAACCCCAAGUGUCUUCUCUUCUCUUUCCUAAUGAGUGCUUCUCAAUGGAGACCAACAUUCUAAUCUGAUUUCAGACCCUUCCUAGCUAUGUUACUCUGGGCAGAUCGCUUCACCCCCAUUGCCCAGCCCUGACCACUCUCUCCUGCCUGAGAAACAAUACACAGAAUUGAUUGGAAAAUGGAAGGUAAGGGGGGGGGGACAAAAACUACAAAUCCCUUCAGGAAGUAUUCUAGGAAUCAGUUUCAAGCUCACCAGCUAUUGUUUCCAUGAGACAUUUUUCUUCCUUUGGUUCCCAACCAGGGCAGACUUUCAUGUCUUCUCUCUUCUUGUCCUUCUCCAUGGUUCUGCAAAGAUCUGCUAAUUUUGGAAGAAGCCUAGUAAGGGAAGCUGAUUUGAUCAGUGGAUAGAGAAUCAGGCCUAAUGACUGGAGGCUCAAAUCCAGCCUGGGACACUUCCUUCCUGCGUGACCCUGGGCAAAUCACUUCAUCUCUUGCCAAGCCCUUCCUUACUACUUUUGUGCUUUAGACCCACAUACAGAAUUGGUUUUAAGAUGGAAGGGAAGGUUUUUUCCAAAAAAUAAUGAACUUUUUUAACUCAAUAUUUAUCUGGGGAGAUUUAAAUGCAAAGAACCCAAAUGGUAGAUGACCCAAAGUAUCUUGGAAAGAUGCAUGGUAGGUAUCGAUGAGCUGUACUAGAGAUGAUUUGAGUGCAAGAAGCAGUCUAAAAAGCCAUCCAGUUGGAUGAUCAGGGACGAGAUAAGCCUGGCCCAGUUCUUUGGUGUCUUGAACCAAAACCCUCAUCCUAGAAUUCUUAGUGUGAAAAAGAUGUGGAUAGGUUUUGACCUGCAUUGCAAGAAAGGAUACAUCCCAGAUACAGCACCAAGACCAAGAGAAGGGAACUCCCUUCCCUUGACGAAGCUAGUGAAUAUCCAUUGAGAGAUAGAUAGCCUUAGAUAAUAGUAUGGAGACAUGAGUAGCUUCAGAGACAGGAAGGAGGCCUGGUUUCAAAUGAUGCCUUUGACACCUACUAACUGAGUGGUGCCAAAUAAGUCCCUAGUGGCUCAGAGAAUUCUCCAAGUCUCUAAGUUACAAAAGAGUUGCCUAUCCACACCUAUUAAGAGAAUUAGCACACUGGAACAUCCAUGGAUAAAAUUACAAGUCUUGCCUCCUUGCUCCCAUCACCAUUGAUAUUUUCCUAUUGCAAUAAACAUAUUGAACACUUCGGCAGCAGGUAGGGUUAUCCACACAUAGACUGGACAGCAGGAUUUACUCAUAGGUCCUUAUCGUGGGAAAGAACUUUGUUUUUUUUUCUUUUUGGGUGCCCCUUGGAAAUGCCUCUUCAGUCUUUUGGAUGUGUUUCCACUGUGGAAAGGAAUGGCAUGAGCUCAGUACAUUGGACUGGGCAAUGGGUCUGCUGAAGAAGAUAUCCUGAAAAGUUUAAAAGCUUAGAAAACAAGCUGGAGGCUGGAAUUCAAUUCUGUCUAUGAAGUCCUUUGUAAGAAAGUGAAUAGAAAUGAAGAAAAUAAAAGAGAACAUUUAGGACAAAAGGUGAGGCCCACGGUGAGAUGGCUUAGGUGUGUUGAUACAGGGAUCCAGGCUGAUGUUCCCCUUGGUCAUCCUGGCUCUCUUGGGUCUCCUGGGCCUUAAUCACCUGUUUCUUGCCGUGGAUGUCUUGCUUCGACUCUGGGCCACCAUCCUUCAGGAAGAGACCCUGGAACUUUUCAGCCAUUUGGUCAGAACUUCUCAGUUUGACUAGUCAAGUUCUCUCUUCCUUGGGUUCAUGUGUCUUUUCACAUCCUUUUUGAAUUCCUGGAAUUUUGCCUUCAACCUGGGGGCUUGUUGUGCACUCCGGAAUCAGCUGGCCAACAGCUCUGGCGUUGGACUUUGAUGGGCAGUUAGGCUGUGUGUCCCAAACCAAGUCCCAUCACUGCCCUAACCGGGCUUCAGCUCCACCAGUGGGGUUCCUGAGUCAUUGGCUCUUCAGAGACUUGUCCCAGCUCCCGAGGAGACCAAUUGUCCCUGUGUCCUUGUGUCUCAGAAGCUUCCCAGCAGCCGUCCAUGCUCUUUCCACUGGGGAAGGUCAUUGUGAGAGGCAAAGGGGAGCAGCUUGUUCCACCUUCCAGAUCUCUUCUUCAUCUGCCUGACUGCAGGGUCUUCAUGUCCUACUCAGACAGACAGACAGACCACGGGCUGUAACUGGGGAUCCUGCUUGCCUUCCUCCAGGCUGUUGCUGGUGGAAUCCUGCUCAAUCAGAGAUUCCUUGGUAGAGGCCAUCAGAAGGGGAAAGGAGGGGGUGGUGAUGCCACAGCGGCGUCAGCAAUGGUUGCUCCCAGUGACGCGAAGGCGGAGGGUGCAGCCAUUGUGGCGCUCUGUUGGCCCUAGUGCUUAAGUAGGCUGAGUCUCGCUACUGCUCGCACAUGCGCGAGACACUCCGGCCCCCCAACCCGGCUGCCAGGGGACUGGAAAGGGCUUGGAAGAGAUGCGCUAAUCCAAACGUUUCAUUUUUAGGAGAGGGGGAAAAUGGAGGCCUGGACAGAAGGGAUUCAUUGCACUUGACUCCGGGAGCCAAUGGGAGAGCUAAGUCCAGAGCAUUGGUGAAAUUGGGAGGGAAAUGAUAAGGGUGCCGACAUCCCAGCUUGAAUCCCGCCUAGGAAUCAGAGUUCCUGUGUGGGAUGGCUCAAGUCUGGGAUAUGGGGACGGGGGAAGGGACAGCACUGGUUGAGGUCAUGGUCCAAAGCCAUUGGCCAAGGAAAGGAUCCCCAGGGAGGAGAUUCGGUUUGCAAAGCUCCUGGGGAAGAGGAAUUGGGGCUCUUUGCUUCCUGAUCUCUCUCUCAACUAACUCUGCCUGUUGACUAGUGCUCUGUCUGGGACCUGAACCCAACUCGGGUGGGAAAGACUGAAACCCCAAGUUUCACCUCUGAUCUUUCCUAAGGACAGCUUUUCAGUCCAGUCCCACUUUCUAAUCUGAUUUCAGACCCUUCCUAGCUGGGUGACCGUGGGCAAAUCACUUCACCUCCAUUGCCCGGCCCUGACCACUCUCCUGCCUGAGAACCAAUACUCAGCAUUGAAUGGAAGAUGCAAGGUAAAGGGGGGAAUGAAAGCUACAAAUCCCUUCUGGAAGUAUUCUAGGAAUCAGCUUCAAGCUCACCAAGAGCCUUCUUCUUCCCUUGGAUCUCCUGCUUAGCCUCUGCGCCACCAUCCUUCACCCAGAUUUCCUUGAACUUCUCCGCCAUGUGGUCAGAAUUUCUCUCUUUGACUAGUCAAGCUUUCUCUUCCUGGGCUUCUUCUUUCCUUUCUUUUGUUUCUUGUCAUCUCCUUCUUGUAUUUCUGGAAUUUUGCCUUCAACCUGUGAACAUUUUGUGCACUCAGGCAUCUGUUGGCCAGCAGCCGCCCUGGCUUUGGACUUUGAUGGGCAGAGUGAGGCUGUGUGUUCCCAACACAAGCCCCUUCACUACCCGCACUGGGCUUCAGCUCCAGCAGUGGGGUUCUGGAGUGAUUGGCACAGCUCUUCAGAGACUUGUCCUGGCUUCUGAGGAGGACAAUUGUCCUUCUGUCCUUGUGUCUCAGCAGCUUCCCAAGAGCCGUUCCUGCUCUUUCCAUUGGGGAAGGUCAUUGUGAGAGGCAAAGGGGAGCAGCUUGGCUCCCACCUUCCAGAGCUCUUCUUCCUCUGCCUGCCUGCAGGGUCUUCAUGCCCUGCUCAGCAGACAGACAACGGGCUGAAACUGGGGAUCCUGCUUGCUGUCCUCCAGGCUGUCAGCGGUGGAAUCCUGCUCCUCCUGAGGUUCCUUGGUAGAGACCAUCAGAAGGGGAAGGGGUGGCCCGAUGUGGAAGAAGCGUCAGCAAUGGUUGCUCCCAGUGACCUGAAGGCAAAGGGGGCAGCCGUUGUGGCAGCUCUGGUGGCCCUCGCGCUGAGUUUCCUUCCAACUCGCGCAGGCUCGAGAGCGCAGGCAUGCGCGCAAGCCUAGCCCUGUCUGCCUGGCUGCUGUGGCAGUGGGAAAGUGCUUGGAAGAGAUCUCCUAAUUCACACACUUCCUUUUGUAGGAGAAGGGAAAAAAUGGAGGCCAGGACAGAAGUGACUCAUUGCACGUGACUCCGGGAGCCAAUGGGAGAGCUAAGUCCAGAGCACUGGUGAAAGUGGGAGGGAAAUCAUGAGGAGACCUCCAUCCCAGCUUGAAUCCCGCCUAUGAAUCAGAGUCCUGUGUCAUGGCCAAACUCUGGGAUUUGGGGACCGGCGAGGGGGGGGGAGGGAAAGUACUAGUGGAGGUCAAGCUCCAAAGCCAUUGGCCAGUUAAAGGAUCCUCAGGGAGCAGAUUAGGUUUGCAAAGCAAGUGGGGGAAGAGGAAUGGGGCUCUUUGCUUCCUGACUCAUCUCUCAACUAACUCUGCCUCUGGGCUAGUGCUCUGUCUGGGACCUAAACCCAACUUGGGUGGCAAAGGCUGGAACCCCAAGUGUCUUCUCUUCUCUUUCCUAAUGAGUGCUUCUCAAUGGAGACCAACAUUCUAAUCUGAUUUCAGACCCUUCCUAGCUAUGUUACUCUGGGCAGAUCACUUCACCCCCAUUGCCCAGCCCUGACCACUCUCUCCUGCCUGAGAAACAAUACACAGAAUUAAUUGGAAAAUGGAAGGUAAGGGGGGGGGGACAAAAACUACAAAUCCCUUCAGGAAGUAUUCUAGGAAUCAGUUUCAAGCUCACCAGCUAUUGUUUCCAUGAGACAUUUUUCUUCCUUUGGUUCCCAACCAGGGCAGACUUUCAUGUCUUCUCUCUUCUUGUCCUUCUCCAUGGUUCUGCAAAGAUCUGCUAAUUUUGGAAGAAGCCUAGUAAGGGAAGCUGAUUUGAUCAGUGGAUAGAGAAUCAGGCCUAAUGACUGGAGCUUUAAAUCCAGCCUGGGACACUUCCUUGCUGUGUUUCCCUGGCUUCCAAGAGCCGUUCCUGGUCUUUCCACUGGAGAAUGUCAUUGUGAGAGGCAAAGGGGAGUAGCUUGGCUCCCAUCUUCCAGAGAUCUUCUUCAUCUGCCUGCCUGCAGGGUCUUCAUGUCCUGCUCAGCAGACAGACAACAGGCUGAAACUGGGGAUCCUGCUUGCUGUCCUCCAUGCUGUCACUGGUGGAAUCCUGGUCCUUGAGAGAUUCCUUGAGAUUUAUGUCUUUUCUCUUCUUGUCCUUCUCCAUGUUUCUGCAAUGAUCAGCCAAUUUUGGAAGAAGUCUCAGAAGGUUAACUGAUUGGCUCAGUGUAUAGAGAAUCAUGUCUUACGAUUGGAGGUUCAGAGAGUCAGAGUAAAGAUGGUGGCCUAGAGGGAGCAGAAAUUCAGACCUCUGAAUAUUCUUCCUUACGGAUCACAAAGUGAAUUCUCCUAGGCGACUGAAAAUCAAACCUACCAAAAAGACAGAGCCAAGGAAACCUCCUGCUGCACUUAAUUUAAAAGGGAGCCCCCCCCCAAAAGCCGGAAUCCAAGAACACUUGGGUUUAUAAGGGAAAGGUAGACAGAAUCCCCAGGAUCCCUUCCCCUGCCCAGCUAGAGCACUGAGCCUCCAGGGGCAGCAGGAACCUCUGGGCAGGUAAAGGUCGUGGUCUGUUGGCUUUAUCUUGGGAGCAGGGCUGUGCCAAGCUCAGAUCUAUGAAUACAGACAGUGGGGAAGGAGCUGGAGAGGGAGCAUAGAGGUGCCAGCCUGUUAGCCUGUUCAGAACUCUGAAUAUCCUCCAUAUUUGCAGGCUUCCAGGAGCUUUUGGCCUCAGAGCACACCCACCCCAUCUCAGCUGAACUUAAUCCCAUCAAAAGUCUUCAGAACUCAAGGAAACCCAGGCUCCACACCCCUCCCUCAUUGACUGCUGGACUUUAAAUUGAUCAAAAGCCUCCAGAGGACAGGAAAGCUUAAAUCCCAACAAAUCUCCCCCACAGACUCCACAGAGAGAUCUUGUGUCAAAGCUCCAAGAGAGGAGAUGGACAGAAGCCCCCAAAACCAAAAAAAUGAGUGGAGCAUGAGCACAGGCAAAUAUGGGGAGCAAAGAAGGGGUGAAUAUGAGCAAACAACAGAAAAAGAAUGAAAUGACAAUAGACAGCUUCUAUACAGAGAACAGAACAGAGGGGGAGGGAUCGGGAAACUAUAAAUCAUAAAUCCCAGUGAAUUGGAUACAGGUUUUGUAAGAACUCAAAAUGCAAUUCAAAGCACAAUUAAAAGAUUUUGAAGGCAAUUGGGAAAAGAAUUUAAAAGCUAAUAUAAGUCAUCUGGAACCAGAAGAUAGUGUCUUGAAAGCCAAAAUUAAUCAGCUUGAAAAUGAGGCAAAAAAGAUGAAAGAAAUGGGAAAAGAAACAAAAGGGGGUAAAUUUAUAUGUCACUAAGAAGCUUAUAGUGGGAGGAUAGAGAAUAUCAAUACACUGGAUGGAUUAAGAGGUUGGAGAUAGGAUACACUCAACUCUUUUGUGCAUUGAAAUUGACCCAAAGAGGGAAGAACAAUCCAAUACAUUGG